rnacentral:ncRNA from 1 species
AUAAGUGCUUAACAACUAAAUACAUUCCCUGGUAGCUCAGUGGUAGAGCGGCUCGCUGUGAAGUAUACGCAGCCCUUUCAAGUAAUUGAAAGCGGAAAAACGAGGUGAAAUCGGUGAAGCCCGGAAACGGGUAAUACCGAGCCAAGCCCGCACAAGCGGGAAGGUGUAGAGACUAUCCUUUUAAGGAGUAGAUCAUUGUUUAGACAGUGAUCGAAGCGCCUCGCAACCAGCAAUGGUUGAUGAUAUAGUCCAUCCCUAUAAGUAAUCAUAGG